CAAUAUGCAGUCCCGCCAGCAGUGAACAUGAGUGCCUAUUUCCAUCACCCUCGCCGGCACUUCGUGCUUCCAGACUUGGAUAUUUCCUAAUUGCCUUCUCCUUCUUAAUGUGCAUCUGGUCAGCCCUACUGCUCUGGGGUCGUUUCUAACCUUCAGUUUUAUUUUGCUCCUGGUUUCUUCAUCAGCUUGACCUCAGCCUUGGCUCUCUUGGCCACCUGAGCUUUCUGCUCUUUGGUCCAUCUACUCUGACAAGGAGCUCUCAUUCUGGCUUGAAUUCUAGGUGGCAGGUGGGCAGGAGAACAGCUCUGCCUCAACCUAGCUGUGUGACCAUGGGCUGAUCACUUGUCUGGGCCUCAGUUUCCUCACCUACACCAUAAAGGAACUGAGUUACAGGAACUCCAGGAUUCUAGCUCUCCAGUUCUGGCCUGGACUAAAAAAAAAUCUCACUUUAAAAAGACGCUCUUGCCCCCAUCGACACUAACCACUGUUUGGUCUGGUUGAAAUGCUCUACUGUAAGUGCACACAGUCGGACAUGAGUCAUUUGAAGAGGUAAUCAGUAGGACUCCUGCAUGCUUCGGGCAAGUAAAAGCUUCCACCUUGAGGAGGCGGGACCCAGAGCAGAGCCUGUGCUUCUGGGAGGGGCAGGCUGAAGAGGCCACCUCCCCCUUGAAAGGCUUCCAGAGGUUCAGACUCUGAUUCACCCAGGUUGGGGUUUGUCCAGGCUGUUUGCUCAUCCUCUCGCCCCUCCCAUUCCCCCUGCCGGUGUCCACACAUUAGGAGCUUGCAGUUGGCUUCCUGUGGCUCCAACAACAGGCCGGCGAGUGUUCUCCUUCCCUUCCCUGACCUCACCCAGCAAGCACUCCAGAAGUGGUCAAAGCAAACAGGACUUGCGCGGGACCUGGCCAGGAAAUCCAGAACAAAGGAGGACUUCUUUUAUCAGCUGUUUCCUUUUGUCAGAAGAUAAAUACUGCUACUGAGAGUAAUAACCUUAAAAAAUAAAAAAAACUAAACAAGAGAAAUAAAAUAAGUUACA